GCCGAGGUGGUGGAAUUGGCAGACACGCCAUCUUGAGGGGGUGGUGGGGCAACCCGUGAGAGUUCGAGUCUCUCCCUCGGCACCA
rnacentral:tRNA from 1 species